rnacentral:rRNA from 1 species
GGCUCAGAACGAACGCUGGCGGCGUGGAUAAGACAUGCAAGUCGAGCGCUGAUUGCGGGGUAGCAAUAUUCCGCAGUUGGAGCGGCGCAAGGGUGCGUAACACGUGGGUAAUCUGCCAUGAAGUCUGGAAUAACUUGCUGAAAGGCGAGCUAAUGCCGGAUGUGAACAUCGGGCGGCAUCGUUUGAUGUUCAAAGUUGGGGACCGUAAGGCCUGACGCUUCAUGAUGAGCCCGCGGCCUAUCAGCUAGUUGGUGAGGUAACGGCUCACCAAGGCUAAGACGGGUAGCUGGUCUGAGAGGACGACCAGCCACACUGGAACUGAGACACGGUCCAGACACCUACGGGUGGCAGCAGUCGAGAAUUUUUCACAAUGGGCGAAAGCCUGAUGGAGCGACGCCGCGUGGGGGAUGAAUGGCUUCGGCCCGUAAACCCCUGUCAUUCGGGAUCAAUGCCUGCGGCCUAAUACGUUGCAGGUUGAUAGUACCGGAAGAGGAAGGGACGGCUAACUCUGUGCCAGCAGCCGCGGUAAUACAGAGGUCCCAAGCGUUGUUCGGAUUCACUGGGCGUAAAGGGUGCGUGGGUGGUCGGGUAAGUCUGAUGUGAAAUCUCGGAGCUCAACUCCGAAACGGCAUUGGAUACUAUUCGGCUUGAGGAUUGGAGGGGGGACUGGAAUUCUCGGUGUAGCAGUGAAAUGCGUAGAUAUCGAGAGGAACACCAGUGGCGAAGGCGAGUCCCUGGACAAUUCCUGACAGUAAGGCACGAAAGCUAGGGGAGCAAACAGGAUUAGAUACCCUGGUAGUCCUAGCCGUAAACGGUGCACGUUUGCUGUAAAAGGAAUCGACCCCUUUUGUGGCGUAGCCAACGCGUUAAACGUGCCG